GUGUCUCAAGUGACGAUCCCAGCACUCUCCAGUAGAUGGUGGUAAUGCAACACUUAUGGAUGCCAACCGCUGUUAAACUACAUGAAGAAGCCUUGUCAAAUGGUUCAGAGACGGUUGGCAGAAACUACUUGACAUUUCUCCGGAUCUGACUGAUGUUUGACGAGGUUUACCUGGACCCACAAGACUCUCCUCACAGUAUGAAGGUAUUGUGGGACAGGUGUGAUACUUCUGCCAAGAAGACAACACAGCAGCAUCAGAAAAGAUUCAGUAUCCACAGGAUGACUUCUGUGACCUGAGAGCCUACAUUACCAGCUGACACAUCUUCAGUAGAAAAGAAACCCUUUAGACUGGUGGAGGACAUGACGUCUGCUACUCUGUGCAUUAUGUAUACACACUUUAUAUUUCCAUUUCAUUGAAUAUGAAUAAACUGCUUUAUUUCUAA